rnacentral:rRNA from 1 species
AUGGAUCUUCUUCAACAUCUUCGCUUCCUGGUCAGAUUUCGGGAUUGGGUCGCUGCUUUGCUGUCCACGUCCACCUCGAGAGUGUUGAUCAACGGGGUGCUGGGAGACCCUCUGAAGCAUGGAUGCGGCCUUCGGCAGGGUGACCCGCUGUCUCCC